rnacentral:rRNA from 1 species
CCCGGCGACAAGCGGUGGAGUAUGUGGUUUAAUUCGAUGCAACGCGAAGAACCUUACCUAGUCUUGACAUCCCGGAGACCCUUAGGAAACUAGGGGGUGGCUUCCAUCUGGAAGAAUCUGGAGACAGGUGCUGCAUGGCUGUCGUCAGCUCGUGUCGUGAGAUGUUGGGUUAAGUCCCGCAACGAGCGCAACCCUUGCCUUUAGUUGCCAGCAGUUCGGCUGGGCACUCUAAAGGGACUGCCGGUGUUAAACCGGAGGAAGGUGGGGAUGACGUCAAGUCCUCAUGGCCUUUAUGACCAGGGCUACACACGUACUACAAUGGCCGAUACAAAGGGCAGCGACACUGCGAGGUGAAGCCAAUCCCGUAAAAUCGGUCUCAGUCCGGAUUGGAGUCUGCAACUCGACUCCAUGAAGUUGGAAUCGCUAGUAAUCGUGGAUCAGCAUGCCACGGUGAAUACGUUCCCGGGCCUU